rnacentral:rRNA from 1 species
GACGUAGGGUGCGAGCGUUGUCCGGAUUUAUUGGGCGUAAAGAGCUCGUAGGCGGCUUGUCACGUCGGGUGUGAAAGCCCCGGGGCUUAACCCCGGGUCUGCAGUUCGAUACGGGCAGGCUAGAGUGUGGUAGGGGAGAUCGGAAUUCCCGGUGUAGCGGUGGAAUGCGUAGAGAUCGGGAAGAACAUCAGUGGCGAAGGCGGCCUGCUGGGCUGUUGCUGACGGCUGAGGCGCGACAGCGUGGGGAGCAAACAGG